GAUAUAUGGUGUUUUUCACAUCAUUGUAUAGGUGUUUUUGUAUUGAUUCGAGUCCAUAAUCCGAGUCAGUCUAGUCCUUUUUGAUCUUUUACAGGUCUGGAGUUGGUAGAAGAAUGAAGAGAGCAUGCUUGAAGAGAAGCUGUCCUUUUGGAGCAUUUUGCGGAGAACACUCAAGACGAACAGUCCCGAGACUGUUCUCUAGCAGAACAAACAUACGGAGUGAUCCCGAGGUUGUUCCCGACAAAUAAGGAAGCUUCUAUUUUCGGGAAUUAAGGCCUUGUUGCCCUAAUUUCUUUUCUACCUAUUGGCGCCUCCAUAUAAAGACGCCAUCUAUCCUAUUUUAUUUCUUACGCUAGUUUUUUACAAGAGAACUAUUAGCUUUUGCGAUCUGCAACUUGUAAGGGAGAAGAAUCCAUUCUCUCAUAGAGAAGACCUUCUGAACCCUUGUUUACUACUCUUAUUAUUAUGCAG
rnacentral:lncRNA from 1 species